GCCCUCUCAGGGUCAACCUGGAGAGUUUCCAGUACUCUACCAGUCUCGACUAUGGGAGGGACAGUCAGGCAGUGGCAUUCCCAUUCCAUUCCUAGUUUGAGCAGUGGCUAGUGAGUGGAAGGCAAUCUGCUACAAGU